AGAGUUUGAUCCUGGCUCAGAUUGAACGCUGGCGGCAUGCUUUACACAUGCAAGUCGGACGGCAGCACGGAGAAGCUUGCUUCUUGGGUGGCGAGUGGCGAACGGGUGAGUAACAUAUCGGAACGUACCGAGUAAUGGGGGAUAACUAAUCGAAAGAUUAGCUAAUACCGCAUAUUCUCUGAGGAGGAAAGCAGGGGACCUUCGGGCCUUGCGUUAUUCGAGCGGCCGAUAUCUGAUUAGCUAGUUGGUGGGGUAAAGGCCUACCAAGGCGACGAUCAGUAGCGGGUCUGAGAGGAUGAUCCGCCACACUGGGACUGAGACACGGCCCAGACUCCUACGGGAGGCAGCAGUGGGGAAUUUUGGACAAUGGGCGCAAGCCUGAUCCAGCCAUGCCGCGUGUCUGAAGAAGGCCUUCGGGUUGUAAAGGACUUUUGUCAGGGAAGAAAAGGCUGUUGCUAAUACCGACAGCUGAUGACGGUACCUGAAGAAUAAGCACCGGCUAACUACGUGCCAGCAGCCGCGGUAAUACGUAGGGUGCGAGCGUUAAUCGGAAUUACUGGGCGUAAAGCGAGCGCAGACGGUUACUUAAGCAGGAUGUGAAAUCCCCGGGCUCAACCUGGGAACUGCGUUCUGAACUGGGUGACUAGAGUGUGUCAGAGGGAGGUAGAAUUCCACGUGUAGCAGUGAAAUGCGUAGAGAUGUGGAGGAAUACCGAUGGCGAAGGCAGCCUCCUGGGAUAACACUGACGUUCAUGCUCGAAAGCGUGGGUAGCAAACAGGAUUAGAUACCCCGGUAGUCCAA
rnacentral:rRNA from 1 species